rnacentral:rRNA from 1 species
UACGAAGGGGGCGAGCGUUGUUCGGAAUCACUGGGCGUAAAGGGCGCGUAGGCGGCCCUCUUAGUCGCGUGUGAAAAGCCCCGGGCUCAACCUGGGAACGGCGCGCGAAACGGGAGGGCUGGAGUUCGGGAGAGGGAUGUGGAAUUCCAGGUGUAGCGGUGAAAUGCGUAGAUAUCUGGAGGAACACCGGUGGCGAAGGCGGCAUCCUGGACCGAUAUUGACGCUGAUGCGCGAAAAGCCAGGGGAGCAAACGGG